rnacentral:rRNA from 1 species
GAUCCUGGCUCAGGAUGAACGCUAGCUACAGGCUUAACACAUGCAAGUCGAGGGGCAGCAUGAGGUAGCAAUACCUUGAUGGCGACCGGCGCACGGGUGCGUAACACGUAUCCAAUCUACCCAUGGCUCGGGAAUAGCCUUUCGAAAGAAAGAUUAAUGCCCGAUGGUCUGUCCGUGAGACAUCUCGCAGGCAGUAAAGAUUUAUCGGCGAUGGAUGAGGAUGCGUCUGAUUAGGUAGUAGGCGGGGUAACGGCCCACCUAGCCGACGAUCAGUAGGGGUUCUGAGAGGAAGGUCCCCCACAUUGGAACUGAGACACGGUCCAAACUCCUACGGGAGGCAGCAGUGAGGAAUAUUGGUCAAUGGACGAGAGUCUGAACCAGCCAAGUAGCGUGAAGGAUGACUGCCCUAUGGGUUGUAAACUUCUUUUGUUUGGGAAUAAAGUGGGCCACGUGUGGCCUUUUGUAUGUACCAUACGAAUAAGCAUCGGCUAAUUCCGUGCCAGCCGCAGC